UACGGAGGGUGCGAGCGUUGUCCGGAAUCAUUGGGCGUAAAGGGCGCGUAGGUGGCGGGACAAGCGUGCGGUGAAAGCUCGGGGACUCACCCCGCGUCGGCCGUGCGAACUGUUUUGCUUGAGCACUGUAGAGGCAGGCGGAAUUCCGGGUGUAGCGGUGGAAUGCGUAGAGAUCCGGAAGAACACCGGUGGCGAGGCGGCCUGCUGGGCAGUAGCUGACACUGAGGCGCGACAGC
rnacentral:rRNA from 1 species